rnacentral:rRNA from 1 species
UGCGUAGGCGGAGCCACAAGUGCUUUGUGAAAUCCCCUGGCUUAACCAGGGAACUGCUUGGCAGACUGUGGUUCUUGAGGUCGGUAGGGGCUGCUGGAACUCUAGGUGGAGCGGUGAAAUGCGUAGAUAUCUAGAGGAACGCCAAAGGUGAAGACAGGCAGCUGGGCCGAUUCUGACGCUGAGGCACGAAAGCGUGGGGAGCGAACGGGAUUAGAUACCCCGGUAGUCCACGCCCUAAACGAUGUGCACUAGAUCCUGGAGCCUCUGACGGCAUCAGGGUCGAAGCUAAAGUGUUAAGUGCACCGCCUGGGGAGUACGGUCGCAAGGCUAAA